CCACUGGAUGAAGACGAACUCCUCUCCUUCAUCAUCGCGGGACUAGACCUUGAUUACAAUUCUGUAGUCUCGGCCCUAGACGCUCGCAUGGAGCCGGUCACCGUCGACUUCCUCUACGCACAGGUCUGCAACUUCGAUC
rfam:Hordeum vulgare subsp. vulgare, WGS project CAJW01000000 data, contig: morex_contig_66941